GACAGAGGGUGCAAACGUUUGUUCGGAAUUACUGGGCGUAAAGCGCGUGUAGGCGGCUAUGUAAGUCGGGCGUGAAAUCCCACGGCUCAACCGUGGAAGUGCACCCGAAACUGCGUAGCUAGAGUCCUGGAGAGGAAGGUGGAAUGCUUGGUGUAGAGGUGAAAUUCGUAGAUAUCAAGCGGAACACCGGUGGCGAAGGCGGCCUUCUGGACAGUGACUGACGCUGAGACGCGAAAGCGUGGGGGAGCAAACAGGA
rnacentral:rRNA from 1 species